CGCGAAGUUAGCCGGGGCUUAUUCCUCCGGUACCGUCAUUAUCGUCCCGGAUAAAAGAGCUUUACAACCCUAAGGCCUUCAUCACUCACGCGGCAUGGCUGGAUCAGGCUUGCGCCCAUUGUCCAAUAUUCCCCACUGCUGCCUCCCGUAGGAGUCUGGGCCGUGUCUCAGUCCCAGUGUGGCUGAUCAUCCUCUCAGACCAGCUACUGAUCGUCGCCUUGGUAGGCCGUUACCCCACCAACUAGCUAAUCAGACGCGGGCCGAUCUUCCGGCAGUAAACCUUUCCCCAAAGGGCGUAUCCGGUAUUAGCCCUAGUUUCCCAGGGUUAUUCCGAACCAGAAGGCACGUUCCCACGCGUUACUCACCCGUCCGCCGCUGACCCCGAAGGGCCCGCUCGACUUGCAUGUGUUAAGCCUGCCGCCAGCGUUCGCUCUGAGCCACGGAUCAAACUAC
rnacentral:rRNA from 1 species